UUCCCCGUGGAAAAGGGAGGAUGACUGAGGGGCAGGGCAAAGAGGCAGAGAGAGAAGCCCACCCCAGAAGAAGGAGGGGGAGGGCAGAGGAGCCCUUAAAGGAGCAUUGUGACCAUGUCUGCUGCAUUUCAACCCUGCCGCGCGUGCCCGUGGCUACAGGGAGCACGGCCCCCUUUUCCUUUUUGAACCGGGUGUCUAUUUACUUUUCCUGUGCUUCCCCAUGGAAUGUGGGUCUUGCAGGGACAGAUAACUUGCUUCUGGCUUUGCUGCAUGUCACAAGCCAAGAGCAGUAGUGAGAUGUGGUUCUGGGAUCUUCAUGCAGGAGGAACUGAAUCAUUAGGGGCCAGAGUGUGGACGGGUGGCGGGCAGGUUGUUCCACUGGUUCCCACCACCCCCUCCCCGCCCCAAGCUGUGCUUUCCAGAACUCGUGCUGCUGUGCGCACCCUUCCCACACGGAUUCCAGGCUCGCCUGCAGGACUUGCUGUGGCCAGCAGGAUACCAGCAGGAGAGAUUCAAGCAGAGGUCCAACAGGACCUGUCACGUAGAGUAGAGCCUCCACGUGCCAGAACACCCUGAAGAGUAGUCGGUCCCGAGGCCUUCCCUUCCGCGUCGCCUCAGCCCCCUCAGUCGGGCUUGCUCCUCCACCUCGUACACCUGAAGGUGACCGGUGCCUUCGUUGUGCCUUCUGUGCCCACCAUUCGGGAUCUCUCAGCAGCACUGGACAAGGCCGAUCUCUCCUUCUCAGCCUAGCACCGUCAUCGCUUGGCCCACUGCCCUCUCCUGGCGUCCCUCCUACCUGACAUCCUCAUCCUCUGUACCAGCUCCUCCUUCCAGCCUCCCUUCCUCCUUAGCGUGAGGAUACCCAGGGCUCAAUCUUUUCCCUCUCUUUUUCUCUAUUUGCAUUUCCUCCCAUGGUGAACUCAUCCAGUUGUAUGGCUUUAAGUACAACAAAUACCCUCGUGAACAUCAAUCUAUACUCAUGUAUUCAAUUGCCUUAUAACCUUAACCUGUGGCAUGAGGAAGAAAUAUAUUUUUAUCUUGCUAAGCCGCUGAGAAUUUAGGGUUGUUUGUUACUGCAGCAUAACCAGGGCUAUCCUGACUGCUACAAAACACUGCCAUCAAAGGUGUGCCCAACACCAUCAUUUCUUAGUUGGGUAAGCUUGCAUUAGCUUCCUAAACAUCCUGCCUGCUUUCACCCUUCCCUCACUGUCUACAUCAGCUGCCAUGAUGCACUAAAAAGCUAUUCCUUCUUUCCUAUCCUCCAAUGGCUCACUUUUCUGAGUGUAAAAGUCACAGUCCUCACCAGACUCCACACCCAUCCCAACCUCCACCU